CAACAAAUGGGUUGUGGAAGACCAAUAACCUUUUAGAUUUCUCUCUUCCUCUGUUUACCUUGCAAUUAACGUUAGUUGUAUCUGCAACACGUUUCUUUGUUUUAAUCCUCAAGCCCUUUCACCAACCUCGUGUAAUUGCUGAAAUCUUGGGUGGAUUGCUUCUGGGUCCAUCAGUGCUUGGAAGAAAUAAAAAUUUUGCCAAUAUUGUGUUCCCUAUGAAAAGUGUAAUGCUGGUGGAGACAAUGGCAAACAUGGGUCUGAUAUACUUUGUGUUCCUGAUUGGGUUAGAGAUGGACGUUUCGAUCAUCAAACGUGCUGGAAAGAAGACGGUGUUAAUUUCCCUUGCUGGUAUGGUGAUUCCCUUUAUGGUUGCUAUGUGUUUAUCCUCUUUAAUAGCUAACACAGACGAAAACAUAAAUCAAGCCAGCUGUAUCCUCUAUCUUGGUAUUGUUCUAUCUGUCACUGCAUUCCCGGUGCUUGCUCGAAUGCUUGUUGAGCUCAAACUUAUCAACACAGACUUAGGGAAGCUUGCUCUAUCAACUUCUCUCAUCAAUGAUGUGUGUGCAUGGAUGUUGUUGGCUCUAACUAUUGCUUUAUCAGAGGAAAUAAUUAGCGCUUGGGUAUCAUUGUGGGUUCUGCUAUCAAACCUUGUUUUUCUUUCUUUCUCCUUUCUUAUUGUUAG
rnacentral:sRNA from 1 species